GGCUGUGUACUUUCCCAUGGACACAGGGUUACUACAAAGUUAGGCCUCUAACCCUAAUUGCGAAACAUUGGUUAACCUGUAAUAUACUUGAUGCAUGCAUGCGUGUGCAUGUUCAGCUGCUCUGUCGUGUUGACUCUUUGCAACCCUGUGGAAGGUAGCCCUCCAGGAUCCUCUGUCCCUGGGAUUUUCUAAGCAAGAAUACUGAAGUGUGUUGGUGUUUCCUUCUCCAGGGAUCUUCCUGACCCAGGGAUCAAUCUCUUGCAUCCAUUCUUCCUCUUUGGCAGGCAAAUUCUUUACCACUGUGCCACCUGGGAAGCCCUGUAUACUUGAUGCUGAGCUCCUUGAGGUCAGGAACUAUUUCUUGUUCAUUUGCAUCUUGGACUUGGAGCAGCAAAGAGCUCCUCUGGAGUGAGUCUGUGGCUGCUGGCUCUCCAAGGCCAAAAAGAGUCAAGAGUGUGGAGGAUGGAGCUGAAGUCUGCACCAGAGAAUACCAAGAUCCAUCUGAGGAGGGUGACCGUUCCUUCUGAUUCGAAGUGGAGAAUUGUGUUUUCUUUUAGCUACAGACCCUGAACUUCCUGCUCCCGGGGGAUCUAUACCAGCCUGGAGUUUGUUUGUAUGUGGUUUCGUCAUAGACAUUUUGUUGUGGGCUGUCCAGUGAUGCCCAGGAACAAGGCUACGCAUGCAUUGAGUUCUGUUGGAGCAUGUUCCCAGUGAUGUUUGAAUUUUAAACAAGAAGCACUGUGAUAUAAUAGCUCAGUUGUUUUAAAUGGACUGUCCCGUCUCCUCUUGGGGAAAAUGAAAGUCACACCAGAAAAUCAUCUAGUAUGCUCCUCUUGUUUCCAACUGCAAUUUAUUGUGGAGGCAAGGAACAAAGAGAGUCCUGCUCUAGGAAAACAGACAUGACUGGGAGCUGGGACAGUGGAAGAUGCAGGCAAUCAUAUCCCCAGGCCUUUCUGCCGAGAGAGCAGGUCUUGCAGCCUAGGGAUCCAUCACCAUCAACAAAGCUCAGCGGAUCCAUCCUCUUCUCCUUCCCCUACAGAGGGCCUUGUGUCCUGUAGCUUGGCCCUUUCCCUGGCAGAGUGUGGGCUAAUGAAUGAGUGUGUUAAUGAGUGUGUUUGCCAGUGUGCAGGAGGAUGUUGGGUGGGGACAGGAGGAAGGGAGGAAUAAAGACCCGAGAUACUAAGCCAUGGAGGGAGAAAAACCGCCUUAAGUCUCUGGUCCCAUCACUUCAUGGCAAAUACAUGGGGAAAAAAUGGAAACUGACAGAUUUGACUUUCUUGGGCUCCAAAAUCCCUGCAGAUGGUGACUGCAGCCAUGAAAUUAAAGAUGAUUUCUC